UUAACACAUGCAAGUCGAGGGGUAACAGGGAAGCUUGCUUUCGCUGACGACCGGCGCACGGGUGCGUAACGCGUAUACAAUCUACCUUAUACUGGAGAAUAGCCCUAAGAAAUUGGGAUUAAUACUCCAUAGGUAUUUAGAAACCACCUGGUUUUUAAAUUAAAGUUUCGGCGGUAUAAGAUGAGUAUGCGUCCUAUUAGUUAGUUGGUGAGGUAACGGCUCACCAAGACAGCGAUAGGUAGGGGGCCUGAGAGGGUUAUCCCCCCACACUGGUACUGAGACACGGACCAGACUCC
rnacentral:rRNA from 1 species